rnacentral:misc_RNA from 1 species
UGCACCCGCUGCGGUGCAGCACCCCUCUUCAAGCCAGCUGCUUUUCCUUUUCUGUACUCUGUGGGCCUGGUUACGUCACCCGGCGUCCCAGUCCGCGUGUGUGCGCAGAGGGAAGCACAGCACGUGGCAAUUGGGUGCAUCUGUGGUAGCACAGGAGGAAACGGCUGUUACCUCAACCACAAUUGCCUGCAUGCGUGUAUGUUGACACAGAGCCCGUCACCAGCACCACUCCCUCGCUCGCGUUUCGGUUUGGCGCUGCUACAACGUUGACAGAAGCACGCACAAGCUCUCGCCGGUUGAUCUCUAGCUGCGUGCUGCUAUCCAGUUAGCCCUAGCCGCGCCUCCAUCGGGUGUGUCGUCCUCAUCGACUGCAGCGCCAACAAUGGCGUCCUCAUCCUGUUCGCCCUACGGGCACUCCACAUCCACUCGGGACUAUCUCUUCCGGUCCCUCUACCUGCGGCGCGAGAUGCUACUGCUCACCACCCAUGGCAUCGCGUCUGCACUGACCCCUGCAGAGGAAGAUGAGGACGAGAGGCAGCCAAGUGUCGCAAACUCGGUAGGGUCGACAACCAGCCCACUGCGAGACGUGCUGCUUCUGCCGCCGCUCUACUGCUUGGAUGGCCUGUCGCUGACGCCGUCCGCCAACGACGGGCCGGCCUUUGGGGUGGACCCGAUGCUCGCGCCGGACCACGCGUGGAACGGUCUUGUGCAGGUGCGCUCGCCCUCCUCGCCUUGGUACCGUGGCUGCUUCGCCUUCUACGUGUACUUCCCUAGCCGGUAUCCCUUUGAGCCGCCCAUCAUCGAGCUCACUGGGCCGCUGCGGAGCCACCCGCUCGUCCAGGAGCGCUGUUUGCAGCAUCUCGACCAGCUGAGCGGCGCCGGCGAUCACCUCUCCGAGAUUUCGUCGUGUGCCGCACAGCGUGACAGCCCUGCCAAGGACACCUCCACAGCGACGCCCUCGGAAACGGUGAAGCGCGUGUUUGUACCGUUCGAGGAGGUUUACUCCACCAUCGACCCCAUGCGUGUCUCUGUCAUGAUGGUUCUAAUCCGGCACAUGCGGCUCAUCUUCCUCCCUGCCGAAUGGCCCUCCUCGUGGCGAUCACCAUCGAUGGAGACUGAUCGCGACUCCGGCGGGGUGAACCGCGUCCUCGCACGCCGCGAUGUGGAGCGGCGCAGUGUGACGCAGGAGGUGCUGCUGCUGAAGCCGUUCGAGCAGUAUCUUGGCACCGAGGUGAUGCAACACUUCCUCGACGUCUGGAAGGCGAGCGAAGGCGACACGGGCGACGACAUGACGGACACCGUCACCAAGUGCAAUGCAGACUGGUACACUCGUGAAGUCCUUCCGCACCUCUUGCACUCCUAAGCCGCACGCAGAGACGUGCGCCGGUGAUGAUGACAAAAAGAAGCUGAUGUUUUGUUAUUGUUGCGUCCUCUGGCCACCAUCAUGUAGCUGCGCGGCGCUUUUCCUUUAUUUUCGGUGUGUGCGCGUGUACGUAGGCCCUGCUGCGCGUUUGGCCGUCACCAACCCAGGUACGCACGCGCAGCCCUCCGGGGGCGUAAAGG